rnacentral:rRNA from 1 species
UACGUAGGUGGCAAGCGUUGUCCGGAUUUACUGGGCGUAAAGAGCGCGCAGGCGGUCGUUCAAGUCGCGUGUGAAAGCCCCCGGCUCAACUGGGGAGGGUCACGCGAUACUGAUCGACUCGAAGGCAGGAGAGGGUAGUGGAAUUCCCGGUGUAGUGGUGAAAUGCGUAGAUAUCGGGAGGAACACCAGUGGCGAAGGCGACUACCUGGCCUGUUCUUGACGCUGAGGAACGAAAGCCAGGGUAGCGAACGGG